CGAACGCUGGCGGCGUGCCUAACACAUGCAAGUCGAACGAGAAAGGGGACUUCGGUCCCUGAGUACAGUGGCGCACGGGUGAGUAACACGUGACUUAUCUACCCUCGAGUGGGGGAAUAACUUCGGGAAACCGAGGCUAAUACCGCAUGAUCCCUGAGGGGCAAAGGCGAAAGUCGCCUGAGGAGGAGCCUGCGUCUGAUUAGGUAGUUGGUGGGGUAAAGGCCUACCAAGCCCUGCGAUCAGUAGCUGGUCUGAGAGGAUGAUCAGCCACAUUGGGACUGAGACACGGCCCAAACUCCUACGGGAGGCAGCAGUGGGGAAUAUUGGACAAUGGGCGCAAGCCUGAUCCAGCAAUGCCGCGUGGGUGAAGAAGGUCUUCGGAUUGUAAAGCCCUUUUGGCGGGGACGAUGAUGACGGUACCCGCAGAAUAAGCUCCGGCUAACUUCGUG
rnacentral:rRNA from 1 species